AGCAGCCGCGGUAAUUCCAGCUCCAAUAGCGUAUAUUAAAGUUGUUGCAGUUAAAAAGCUCGUAGUUGAAUUUCGGGGUUAGUAGGUUGGUCAUGCCACUGGUAUGUACUGGUCUCACUGAUUCCUCCUUCCUGAUGAACUGUAAUGCCAUUAAUUUGGUGUUGCAGGGAAUCUGGACUGUUACUUUGAAAAAUUAGAGUGUUUAAAGCAGGCUAACGCCUGAAUACAUUAGCAUGGAAUAAUGAAAUAGGACGUUCGAUCCUAUUUUGUUGGUUUCUAGGAUUGACGUAAUGAUUAAUAGGGAUAGUUGGGGGCAUUAGUAUUCAAUUGUCAGAGGUGAAAUUCUUGGAUUUAUUGAAGACUAACUACUGCGAAAGCAUUUGCCAAGGAUGUUUUCAUUAAUCAAGAACGAAAGUUAGGGGAUCGAAGACGAUCAGAUACCGUCGUAGUCUUAACCAUAAACUAUGCCGACUAGGGAUCGGAUGAUGUUAAUUUUUAAUGA
rnacentral:rRNA from 1 species